CCCGCUCAGAAACUCAAAUGAAUUGACGGGGGCCCGCACAAGCGGUGGAGCAUGUGGUUUAAUUCGAUGAUACGCGAGGAACCUUACCUGGGCUCAAAUGUAUGUUGACGUAUUCUGAAAGGGAUACUUCUUCGGACAAUAUACAAGGUGCUGCAUGGUUGUCGUCAGCUCGUGCCGUGAGGUGUCGGGUUAAGUCCCAUAACGAGCGCAACCCCUAUCAUUAGUUGCCAUCAGGUCAAGCUGGGGACUCUAAUGAAACUGCCUACGCAAGUAGUGAGGAAGGUGGGGAUGACGUCAAAUCAGCACGGCCCUUACGUCCAGGGCUACACACGUGCUACAAUGGCCGGUACAAAGGGCAGCUACCUGGUGACAGGAUGCUAAUCUCAAAAGCCGGUCUCAGUUCGGAUCGGAGUCUGCAACUCGACUGCGUGAAGUCGGAAUCGCUAGUAAUCGUGAAUCAGAAUGUCACGGUGAAUACGUUCCCGGGCCUU
rnacentral:rRNA from 1 species